CCAAAACAUAAAUACUUCUCUCUUUCUCUUACCAAAACGGCGAAAAUGGCGGAUUCUGAUUUUUGUCUCUUUUUUUCUUUGAUGAAGAUUCUCUUGAUCAAUUCAUGGCUAUCGAAACUGAUUCUGCCAUAAAAAUCUGGACAGGUCUCUCUCAGUUCUAAUUUUUAUUGCUUUGUUUUUGCCAUUCCAUUUGAUGAGAUUGUGUGUGUGUUUGGCGCUGUCAAUUUCAUCAAGCAAUCCAAUGUUGCUCAUAGAAUCCUUAUUUUGUAUUUGUGUUACCACUCUUAUGGAGAAAUCAAAUUAAAGGCAAGCAUGGAAGAAGAUCCGUUGAUCUGUGUUGAUGUCAUCAAGAUUCCACUGCUCUACUGUGCAACUCUUAAGCUGCAAAAUAUGCUAACUUGAAACCUCUUUGCUCUCAAAAGAGCCACAAGUACUGCUAAGGCGUUUCCACUUGAUUUUCCUUGGUCGUUGGCCGCAAUAAACUAGGCCUAAACCCUCCUUCUAGCAACUUUUCCACUUCCUCAAACUGAAGCCCUUUGGUCUCAGGCACAAGCAGCCAGAUGAAGAACAGCCCGACUGCGGAUGACCCUGCAAAUAGAAGGAAUGUUCCCGAUGACCCGACUGCGUUUGUCAAUGUCAGGAACGUCUCACUCACUACGAGAUUUGACAUCCAGUUUGAGACUGCAGCGAUUCCUCCCGCGAGCCCUCUGUAGCGAAGAGGAUAGAUCUCUGAGUUGACAAUCCAUGGAACUGUGCCCAUACCGGGCGCGUACACAAUGAUGUAGAGGCCAAGGAAGACAAUGGCCAGGUACCCGAACUUGCUGGGGCAUCCGUCUUUGAAGAAGGUUCUGCCUUUCGAGUGGCACAAUGCCUUCAUAUCAGCAGACUGAACAAUGCAUGCUCCAGGUGCGUACUGUGACAAAACACAUAUAACCCCAACAUGAGUCUUAAUUCAUCUAGCCAGUACUGUUUUGGUGUGUGUGUUUUGAGUAAAGAGACUUUAUUACCUCCUGUGCUCCGUUGGAGCAGAAUCCGCAAUCGUAUUGAAGACACUUCAUACAAUUCCAGUUGGAGGGAGGAGAACGGGAGGCUGUGAAUGGGGCAAAUGCGGGACAAGUAGCAUUUUUUGCGAAGUUUCUGGAGUCUCUCUUAUCGAUCUUUGGAGCGUGGUUUGAGGCUUCAUUGAAAACGGCAGCCAAAAUGACAAGGCAAGUUAUGAUCCCGAACAUGGAAAUGAUCAUAAGCUUGCGCCGACCAUAACGGUCUACAAACAUCAUGCUUACUACAGACCCCACUGCAUUGAGACCGGAGGUUAUGAGAGCAAGAGCCAUGGCUGUCUUGUUGGAUGCGUAACCUGCAAACUGCAGAAUAGUAGGACUGUAGUACAUGACUGUGUUGAUUCCCACAAACUGCUGGGCGACCUGGACGGUGAUACCUGCGGCCAGACCGUGGCGGACAACUGGAUUCGAGAGAGCGCCUCUGAGCUUAUCAGAGAAGGUAUGGCCGAUAAUAUCCUCGUCAGCCGUCUCUGCCCGGACAGACUCCUUGAGUGCAGCUAUCUCCGCUUCAACCAUCUCUGCCGGGUAUAUUCUCUCGAGGAUGUCUCUUGACUCGGCUUUCCUAUCAUUUCUAUAGAGCCACCGUGGAGACUCUGGCAGCGUUAGCAUGAGGCAGAACUGAAUGAUCGCUGGAAUCGCCGAGACUCCCAACAUCCACCUCCAUGUACCCGGUGUCUGUGUAAGUGAUCAGUAAGUUAGAGACUUUUCAAAUCUUAAAAAAGAAAAGAAAAUAAACAUAUUUGUGAGUUAGUUUGGUUGGUUACAUGGACGAAGGCAAGGUUGAUGAGAUAAGAUAGAAACUGUCCUCCGGUGAUGAGAAGUCCGUUGGUGCUGACCAAGGCGCCUCUGAUUCUCGCAGGAGACAUCUCAGAGAUGUAAAGCGGUGAGGUCAUAGAAGCCAUACCAACCCCAAAACCCACCAAGAGUCUGCCGAGGAUGAUGACCCACGGCGCAUGAGCAAUCACCAUCACCAGGGCACCCAGCAGGAAGAGCACAUCCGCUAUAAGAACAGACAUCCUCCUACCAAACUUAUCGUUGUACCAUCCUCCUAUAGCUGCUCCAACAAUGGCUCCAGCCACGGUCAUGCUCACAAUGAUCUCCUGAAGCCAUGUCUUGUUGUCUACCUCACCAAACUCCUCUUUUAUAUAGAGAAGAGCCCCUGCGAUGACUCCCGUGUUGUAUCCGAAGAGGAGUCCUCCAAUACCGGCAGAGAGAGCCAGCCGCAUAAUGUAAGGUGUCUCCCAUGUCGUCGUCCACACCUCUGUGAUAUUUAUCUGCUCUGAUUUCGAUGCUUCUUCCACCAUCUCUCUAACUGAAGUGGUUUUCUCGAAACCUUACGCUGAUCGAUAAAUGAUCGAGAAAUGUUUGUAAGUCCAGAAAAGAUGUCCUGAAGAAAGUUACAAGCAUUGAAACUUGAAAGAGUAUAUUUAUAGGAGCAUAAUGGAUUGAGAAAAAAAAGAAACGCCAAGAAUAGGAGAGUUCGAAGACAACAAAUCAGGCUCAAUAUCCAGUUUUUAAUGAUUAGCUAGAGUGACAGUUUGCAAAAAAGUGUCUGUUAUUGACUUGAAAAAAUCUGUUAUGAGUGUUUCCUCUGCAUUCAACUGUUCAAAACUUUAUCUCCUUAGUUGCUGUUUUGUACAACUGUAACCAUACUAUUUUUGGAACAUAACCUGGUUGCUCCCAAAAAAAAGAAAUCAUGAAC
rnacentral:lncRNA from 1 species